UAUUCUAUGGUUAAAUGAUCAAUUACACGAGUCAAAAGGACAAACAUAAUACUUUAUUUACUAAAAACUAUUCAAUUGAAAAAACCAUAGCAUGAGGUUUUUUACAAUAUAAAUUGAUGAAACAAUUUUGUAUUUGAUUCAUGCAAAGGUAGAAGAAAAAAUGGCUAAAACUCUCAAAAUCAUUUAUACUAUCAUCCUUUUUGUGUUCCUAUUUCUUGCUGUAGUCGAUGUUGGUGGUGAUUCUCCAUGUCACGAUGACAUCGAUUGUAUAACUUAUCCGUGUCCCCGUUAUGCUCAAGGAUAUUGCUCAACGGGUCGUUGUAGAUGCACAAGAUCAUCAUGUUAACACUUAAGUUA